rnacentral:piRNA from 1 species
UGAAUUCACAGCCCUCAUUAUGG